rnacentral:rRNA from 1 species
UGCAACGAUCUCAACCACCUUACCAUGCAAGUCGAACGCCCCGCAAGGGGAGUGGCAGACGGGUGAGUAACGCGUGGGAACAUACCCUUUCCUGCGGAAUAGCUCCGGGAAACUGGAAUUAAUACCGCAUACGCCCUACGGGGGAAAGAUUUAUCGGGGAAGGAUUGGCCCGCGUUGGAUUAGCUAGUUGGUGGGGUAAAGGCCUACCAAGGCGACGAUCCAUAGCUGGUCUGAGAGGAUGAUCAGCCACAUUGGGACUGAGACACGGCCCAAACUCCUACGGGAGGCAGCAGUGGGGAAUAUUGGACAAUGGGCGCAAGCCUGAUCCAGCCAUGCCGCGUGAGUGAUGAAGGCCUUAGGGUUGUAAAGCUCUUUCACCGGAGAAGAUAAUGACGGUAUCCGGAGAAGAAGCCCCGGCUAACUUCGUGCCAGCAGCCGCGGUAAUACGAAGGGGGCUAGCGUUGUUCGGAAUUACUGGGCGUAAAGCGCACGUAGGCGGAUAUUUAAGUCAGGGGUGAAAUCCCAGAGCUCAACUCUGGAACUGCCUUUGAUACUGGGUAUCUUGAGUAUGGAAGAGGUAAGUGGAAUUCCGAGUGUAGAGGUGAAAAUUCGUAGAUAUUCGGAGGAACACCAGUGGCGAAGGCGGCUUUACUGGUCCAUUACUGACGCUGAGGUGCGAAAGCGUG